UACGUAGGGUGCGAGCGUUGUCCGGAAUUACUGGGCGUAAAGAGCUCGUAGGUGGUUUGUCGCGUUGUUCGUGAAAACUCACAGCUCAACUGUGGGCGUGCGGGCGAUACGGGCAGACUGGAGUACUGCAGGGGAGACUGGAAUUCCUGGUGGUAGCGGUGGAAUGCGCAGAUAUCAGGAGGAACACCGGUGGCGAAGGCGGGUCUCUGGGCCGAUACUGACGCUGGAGGAGCGAAAGCGUGGGGAGCGAACAGG
rnacentral:rRNA from 1 species